rnacentral:tRNA from 1 species
GCGAGAGUGGCGGAAUUGGCAGACGCGCCAGAUUUAGGUUCUGGUGGGGUAACCCGUGGGGGUUCGAGUCCCCCCUCUCGCA